UACGUAGGGUGCAAGCGUUGUCCGGAAUUAUUGGGCGUAAAGAGCUCGUAGGCGGUUUGUCGCGUCUGCCGUGAAAGUUCGGGGCUCAACUCCGGAUCUGCGGUGGGUACGGGCAGACUAGAGUGAUGUAGGGGAGACUGGAAUUCCUGGUGUAGCGGUGAAAUGCGCAGAUAUCAGGAGGAACACCGAUGGCGAAGGCAGGUCUCUGGGCAUUAACUGACGCUGAGGAGCGAAAGCAUGGGGAGCGAACAGG
rnacentral:rRNA from 1 species